UACAGAGGGUGCAAGCGUUAAUCAGAAUUACUGGGCGUAAAGCGUGCGCAGACGGUUGCGUAAGUCAGAUGUGAAAGCCCCGGGCUCAACCUGGGAAUUGCAUUUGAGACUGCGUAGCUAGGGUGCGGAAGAGGGAAGCGGAAUUUCCGGUGUAGCGGUGAAAUGCGUAGAUAUCGGAAGGAACACCAGUGGCGAAAGCGGCUUCCUGGUCCAGCACCGACGUCAGGCACGAAAGCGUGGGGAGCAAACAGG
rnacentral:rRNA from 1 species